GUGAUGGAUGGACACUCAUAUACAGAUUGUGCUAUUCUCUACACAGUCUUAAGAUUCCCUGAUGCGUCUCUGAUGCCUGCUUGAUGAACUGUGCCAAGAACUUCUGAUGUUACUAUUGGAGUCAAGUGAAGUGACCUCAAGACCUGCUGGUGAUAAUAAAUGAGCUCUUCCAACGUAUCCAUAUCAAAAUGGAGAGGGAAAGUUUCCAGCCAAGACUCCUACACACUUUGUGCACAUAUGUGUCAUGACAAAAAAAACAAAUCAUUUUUAAAAUGGUCAAAUUGGAGGAAAAAUUCUGAUAUCUUUGAUUUCAUUAUUUUGACGAGCGCCUGAUUUCACCACGAUGCCGCACAUGUAUGUAAACAGACACUCCACAUAAUCUUACAGUAACGGACUUGUCGGAGGUUUUCGCCUGCCAGUUAACUCCUUGUGAAAUAACAUGUUUUGAUUUUUUUACAGUUGCAAAAAAAAAUUUAAUGUGGUAUGUGCCAAUGUCCUUGAUGCAAUCUUCUUUGCGAUGAACGUUUUCCAUCUUGCAUUUACAAAGAAAUAAAGCAAUUGGUACAUGGAAA